GUAUUUUGAUCCUCUUAAACCCAAACCCGGUUCCAAGCCCUUAUCAUGCAAUUUAAGUUCAAGUUCAGUCAAUUUACCUAGGGUCUCACACUAGAAUCUGCUGUUUCACCUAAUCCCGCCUCAAGCUUAUAGAACAAAAGAAACAGUCACUGGACUAUUUCCUAACCGUUUUAUACCAAAAUCAAAAGAAUUUAACAUCAAAUUUUUCAUCUUUUUUUUUUCUUUUUCUUUUGAGCUUUUGACUAUGCAUAUCUUAUCCCAGAGGCAUUCUCAAUCAGAAGUCACCAUCCCCAAGAGAGAUUACGUAGGCCUUGUCAUUUUUUCGGUCUAGCUCUUAUUUUUCUUUUUUUUUUCUCUUUUUGAUAAAAAAUUCUAGAAAUUUUGGCUUAUAACGGCGUCCCUUAUACUAUUAUUGGCGGUUCCGGUUUCCUACUUUUUUCUAGAUGAGAACCCACUAGCAAACUAACAAUUAGGUAUAUUUAGAUCAAAGGAACAUAAAACCGGGCCAAGCCUACUCACACAUCCCAAAUUAGACAUAAGCUCAACUUUUAUUCUCAUAUUAUUAUUAUUUGAAACCCGAACAAAUCCGAUUUUUCUAUCAUUUUCCGUUUUUAU
rnacentral:lncRNA from 1 species